ensembl:lncRNA
UAGCUGAGAUGAUUUCUGUAAAUGCUGUGGUCAGCUGACUAGUGACUGGACUUGUGAACGUCCACACAACUGACAAACUUUCUGAGUCUAUAGAAGCGGUGGAUAUUUCAGGAAGGAACAUUUAAAAGAUGGAAAAGAGGAAUUAGGGAGAAUCAAUAAAUAAAAGGGACAUCAUUUGUAUGAAUAAUAUGUAAACAUGUAAUCCAUAAAAAGUAACUGUAGUCUGAUUCUGAAUAUUUUACAUUUUUAAAGUACUUAAUUUCUGGAAUCUGAUUAAAUAACUCAGAUUAAAUGUUAUCAGUUUCUACCCAGCUCUGAUGAUAUAAUAUUACUGCAGAAAAACUAGAUUACAGAUAUUCUAUAAUAUUAUAGUAUUGUUAAUAUGUAGUAAUAUUAGAGCUGUUUUUCAGGUUCACCUGCGGUCAGGAGAUCAGUGUAUUUAACUCUCAUGAUGCUGAUCAAUGCUGUAUUGGUUUAUUUCUACAUCACAGUUCUGGAAAAUGAAAAGGAUCGUGUCGGAUGGACCUGUGUGAUUGUGUUUCUCCAGUCUCUCUGGGCACUGGUCAACUUCACACGCUCAUUUCAGUCAUUUGGUACAGUAUUAAUCAUCUGCUCCGAUCAUCUUCUCACUGCCAUGAUUUCACUAUCAGCUCUAGUUAAUUCUCUUCACUCCACUGAACAGAGAUCGAGUCUCUACACUCUAAAAUAUUAUCAUAGUUUUAAAAGUAAAGGACUGUAAUAAUGCUACAUUAAAAACAUGUUAACAGUAAUUUCCUUUAAUAUAUACAGUUUCUAUUUUUUUUUCUUAUAAGUUAUGAGCAUUAGGACAUUAUUUUACAUCUUAUGUUUUUAAAUUAAUGUUAAUUGCAUUAUUUCAGUGUUGUGUGUGUUAUGAUGAUGGUGUUUAUUAUUUGUGUGAAUGAUGCAGCUUCUGUAUAUUAAUAUUUUCCUCAUCAGCUUGUGACGAACUUUGAUUCAUCAGUAACUUUCUCUUGUCAGUGUAUUAUAAAUGCACAAAACAGAUUUUAGUACUUCAGUAGGCUGGAAUAUUAACAUUAUAGCAGUUAAUGAAAUACAGGUUUUUGCUGGUAAUUUAAGAUAAAUCCAUAAAUCCUGAAAUGCUGCAGAUGUAUAUUUUAAGAUGAAGUUCAGGCAAUCACA